rnacentral:rRNA from 1 species
UACGUAGGUGACAAGCGUUGUCCGGAUUUACUGGGCGUAAAGAGCGCACAGGCGGUCGUUCAAGUCGAGUGUGAAAGCCCCCGGCUCAACUGGGGAGGGUCAUUCGAUACUGAUCGACUCGAAGGCAGGAGAGGGAAGUGGAAUUCCCGGUGUAGUGGUGAAAUGCGUAGAUAUCGGGAGGAACACCAGUGGCGAAGGCGACUACCUGGCCUGUUCUUGACGCUGAGGCGCGAAAGCUAGGGGAGCAAACGGG